ACUGCUCAGUAACACGUGGCUAACCUGCCCUUGGGACGAGAACAACCCCGGGAAACUGGGGCUAACUCUCGAUAGGCGAAGAACUCUGGAAUGAGUCUUCACCCAAACAGUUUAAGGUUAUGCUCUUUAAACUGCCCAAGGAUGGGGCCGCGACCGAUCAGGUUGUUGGUGAGGUAAUGGCUCACCAAGCCUUUUACCGGUGCGGGCCGUGGGAGCGGGAGCCCGGAGAUGGGCACUGAGACAAGGGCCCAGGCCCUACGGGGCGCAGCAGUCGCGAAAACUUUGCAAUAAGCGAAAGCUUGACAGGGCUAUCCCGAGUGCCAUCCGCUGAGGAAGGCUUUUACCCAGUCUAGAACGCUGGGGGAAUAAGGAGAGGGCAAGUCUGGUGUCAGCCGCCGCGGUAAUACCAGCUCUCCGAGUGGUGUGGAUGUUUAUUGGGCCUAAAGCAUCCGUAGCUGGCUAGGUUAGUCCCCUGUUAAAUCCACCGAAUUAAUCGUUGGAUUGCGGGGGAUACUGCUUGGCUAGGGGACGAGAGAGGCAGACGGUAUUUCCGGGGUAGGGGUGAAAUCCUAUAAUCCCGGGAAGACCACCAGUGGCGAAGGCUGUCUGCUAGAACGCGCCCGACGGUGAGGGAUGAAAGCUGGGGGAGCGAACCGGAUUAGAUACCCGGGUAGUCCCAGCUGUAAACGAUGCAGACUAGGUGUUUGAACGGCCACGUGCCGUUCUAGUGCCGCAGGGAAGCUGUUAAGUCUGCCGCCUGGGGAGUACGAUCGCAAGAUUGAAACCUAAAGGAAUUGGCGGGGGAGCA
rnacentral:rRNA from 1 species